GUGUUUGUUCUGGCAGCACAUAUAUUAAAAUUAGAAGGAUACAAAGAAAAUUUUCAUGGCCCCCUGCAUAAGGAUGACACAUUAGUUUGUGAGUUCAUGCAUAUUUCU
ensembl:snRNA U6 U6 spliceosomal RNA